ACCUUGGAGCCUUCUCUUCUCCAAGCUGAACAUCCCCAGCUCUCUCAGACUGUCCUCAUAGGAGAGGUGUUCCAUUCCUUGGAUCAUUUCUAUGGCUCUCCUUUGGAUGUGCUCCACCAGAUCUAUAUCUCUCCUGUAGUGAGAACUCCACACCUGGAUGCAGACCUCUUGAAUCCACAACUGCAAUCCUGAAGAGAAAUGCAGGCACAAAAGAGCAGAUGAAAGUUUUCAUGCGGAAAGGAAAUGAAUAAUUGCUCUUGCAUAAAAACAAAGCGAGCUAUAAAUCAUACCUACAAGCCAAGCGAGAGAAUUUGCAGAACAACAAAAUACCCCCCCAGAACAAACAAACCAAAAUCUUACAAUCACCUGGAAGUACAGCCAACUCAAAGAGCAAGUCACCAAGCAGAUGCAAGAAUUCUUCACAUCAUGACCAUCAGCAGUCUAGCAAGAGGCAUAAGUAUGAGCCACUGAAAAGCAAGAAACAUACAGAUACAGUCUCUACUACAUGCCUCUUAGCUAUAUAUAUAUAACGUACAUGUGGAGAACAAACAUUCUACAGAGAGCAACAUAUCAUUUCACUUCAUAUUGCUUCAUCUAAAAUGGGAUGUCUUCGUGAAAGUUUGUUGAGAGAACAAGUCUGUUGUCCAGAACAAGGGGUAAUGGGCACAAACUGGAAGACAGGAAAUUCCAUAUGAACAUGAGAAUAAACUGUACUGUGAAGGUGACAAAGCCCUGAAGCAGGCUACCCAGAGUUUCCCUCUCUGGAGAUACUCAAGGCCCAAUUGGAUGCUUUCCCUACCAUAGGGAACCUGCUUUAGCAGCAGUUGAACAAGAAGACCUCCAGAAAUCCCUUCCAACCUCUAUGAUUCUGUGCUUCUGUGAGAGACGGGGGUCAUAGUGGCUGGAAAUGUGCCUCAUUCAUCUCUACCAAGGAAAACCUAUCCAGUUACACACAAUCCUGGCAAUGCUGUAUCAGUUGUCUCCCCUUCACUUGUCCUUUCUCUUUAUUUUUCUAGUGAUUUCAUCUGACUGUGGUGCCUUACAGACACUGGCUAACCACUUACUCCUUUGUGUCCACUAUUCGCUUUCACUGAACCACAUUUAUUGCUGUUCUCUGCCUGUAAGGACAUCACAGUCUGACCCUUUGUGCUCAUAUUUUGUUUCAAGUUUUUAUUAAUUUGAAUAAAAGAUGUAUUUUACUU
ensembl:lncRNA